UUUUUUUUUUUUUUUUUUUUGUAGGUUCACAUAUGUCCCAACAUGGGAGAGCAAAGGACACUCUGUUGGUUUUUGAGGCCACCAGACCACUGUGAAAGAAGCUCUAGGCUUGGACAGACAUUGCUUUUUGAGGCAGAAAGCACCACAUUUGAGUGUGCAGCCUGACUCAUUUAUUGAGUCACCUGAAUUUCAGAGGAACUCGAAGCAGAAGGCAGGAAGCUCUGACCUCCGGCUUUCCAGCAGACACAGGGGGACAGACCAGCAAUGUCACGGAGUCUGUGGCAGGGUCCCUAGGGGAACUGGUCAGGCCCUUAGGCUUUGGGCACAGCUUUUUAAACAAUUAAUUAAUUAAUUAAUUAAUUUUGUCUUUUGUCUUCUUAGGGCCGCACCCGCGGCAUGUGGGGGUUCCCAGGCUAGGGGUCUAAUCGGAGCUGUUGCUGCUGGCCUACACCACAGACACAGCAAUGCCAGAUCAGAGCUGCAUCUGUGACCUACACCACAGCUCACAGCAAGGCUGGAUCCUUAACCCACUGAGUGAGGCCGGGAAUCGAACCUGCAACCUCUUGUUUCUUAGAUUUGUUUCUGCUGCGCCACAAUGGGAACUCCUGAGCACAAAAACUAAUGUCCUUUUGGGAAACAACAAUCAUAACUUUUUUUUCCCCCUAAAGCGGCUCUUGGUUGCUGCUGGACCCUGGAGGUGAUUGCCUGACGACAGGACAGUGUGUGUCCUUAUGAUCUAACUGCCUGAGUCAUGAAGUGUGACUUCCUUAAUAGCAUCGGGUCAGACGGACGUGACAGAGGAGAGCCUGAGCAUAUGCAGGGGUCAAAGGUCCAUUCAAAUCACUCGAACAGGAGGCUCCCCCUCUCUGUAGCCCCACUGACGCUUCACGUCUCCUCUCGUGACCGGCCAAGCCAGAGCCUCACCGGAAGGCCGCGUGCCCCGCGUGGUUCAACUGGGGUUUUUUCAAACGUAUGGUGGUGCAACUGUUCUACAUCCAGACCGCUGUUCUCUCCCGAUGCUGGGCAGCGGCCCAAAGCUGGAGCUCCCAGUCAGCCCGGGGGGGAUCUCUGACAUGUUCACAACCAUCCCGGGUCCACGCGAUCACUCUUCCUCACCAUCGGCACAGUAUUCAAUCAACUACGCGAGACAGACCAACACUUUCUUGUAAAACAGGCUUUGUGUUGGGUGAUUUUGCCUGACUGUCAGCUCUUGUAAGUUUCUGAGCACGUUGGAGGCAGGUUGGGCUGUGCUCUGCUCUGCUGGGUAGGUUAGGCAGAUUAAAUGCAUUUGUGAUUUAUCAUACAUUCACUUUACCAGGGGUUUAUCAGGACAGACCCCCAUUAUAAGCUGAGGAAGGCCUGCACCGCCAUAAAAUAGCUGGGUGUUUGGGGUACGUUACUCUGUAUAGAAGAAGCUUACCUAGCCUCCGUGAAACAGAAGAGAUAGACGAUUGUCUGAGGUGCUUCUGGCAGGUGAAUAAAAAGUCCCAGCACGAGGCACGAUGGUGAGAUCAGACUCCUCAGCUUCUGCAGAUGGAGCUCCCUUGCAGUGAGUGGCGACUGCAGCCUCGACACGGGUCUGUCUGCAAAUGCGGGUUCCAAAGACACGUGACAUGACUUCCUGUUACUUCCCAGAUGGGAGAAACUCGUUCAGCUUUCUCCCCACUUCUCUGGGGUCAGUUUCUUGCCAGGGGAUUGGUCUCCUGAUAUCCAGGGGUUUCAACCACCCCAAACAAUCAAUCCAUCUUCCCUCCAUCUGUGACUCUGCUUCCUGGUGUCCGUGUCUCAGCUCCAGGUCAAGUUUAUGCAGUCGUCUUGCACCCUGGUCCUUUACCUGUGGCACCCGGCAGGGUCUUUCUCAAUAGUAGGCAUUUCACCUGUCAAUGUGCCUUUUACUUUUAAAAAAAUUUAUGCAUUCGUUUUUUAGGGCUGCACCUGCGGCACAUGGAAGCUCCCAGGCUAGGGGUUGAAUCGGAGCUACAGCUGCCAGCCUACACCACAGCCACAGCAACUUGGGAUCUGAGCUGUGUCUGUGACCUACACCACAGCUCACAGCAAUGCUGGAUCCUUAACCCACUGAGUGAGGCCAGGGAUUGAACCUGAGUCCUCGUAGAUGCUAGUCAGACUCUUUACCACUGAGCCACAGUGGGAGCUCCCUCAGUGUGCCUUUUAAAAUGGUACAAGGGAGUUCUUUGUGGCCUAGAGGUCAAGGAUCCGGCAUUGUCACUACUGUGGCUUGGGUUCGAUUCCUGGCUGGGAACUUCCACAUGUCACAGGCAUGGCCCAAAAAAUGGCACAUGAAGGAAAGCCACCCAGCGCUCAGCUGGGCUCUGGACUUGCCCUGGUCCUCCUGGACCCCAUCCUGCGGUCGUGAGUAGUAGAGAAAUAAGACCGAGGACUGCAGACUUCCCAAGAAGCUCAGAAAGUAACUGUGUGGUCAUCCAACAGGGAUUUCCAGGGACCUGUGUGACGUGGAAUGGCGAAAGAGAAGUGGCUGACGGAAUGGCACUUCCUGGUCUCUCUUGAUGGAAGGAGGGGAGUGACGCAGCCAGUACACUCUAAAAGGUUCACCCAGAGAACAGUCUCUCUUGGUCCCUCUCCCAGACCUGUGCUUGCUGCUCACAAGGAAAUUGGUGACCGUUGCGGUGCAUUUUUGCAGGUAGGAGGCUUUUCCUUGCCUCGUCUGGUGGGAUUUCAGAGUCUUGUGGAGG
rnacentral:lncRNA from 1 species